rnacentral:rRNA from 1 species
AUGGAUGCAAUCAUUUCUGCGCUUCUUGGUGAUCUUGUCGGCAGAGCUAUAUCCUUCGUGGUCGAGAAGCGCCAUGAGCAGACAACCGCUGAUGAGUAUCUGCAGAGGCUGCGCCAGCUGCUUCUGAGGAUAAGUGCCGUUGUCGAGGAGGCCGAGGGACGGUGUGUCACUAACCGGGGGAUGAUACAUCAGGCUAGCACGAUGAGAGAGCAAAUGUUCAGAGGGUACUACCUUCUCGAUGCCUUCAGAUGCAGAGAGAAGAAGACCGAUGACGAGGAGGUGAGUCUCUGCUCGUUCGUUCAAUCCAAAUUUAAUCCGGCUAAGCGCUUUCGUCGCCUUUCUAAUGACACCCAAAUUGGGAGCAUGGAAUUUGGUAGAGACGUCAGUAAGGAGUUGAAACAUGUUGUUCUUGUCCUGGAAAGAAUGGUUGCUGAUAUGAAGGAGUUUGUUAUAUUUCUGAUGAGCUACCCUCGCAUGUACCGCCAACCUUAUGGUGCAUAUUUAUUUUUUGACAAGUGUAUGUUCGGCCGCCAAAUGGAGAGGGAACAAGCCAUCAGCUUCUUGCUACAAGCUGAUCCUCUAGGGGCUGGGGGUUUGGGUGUCCUUCCAAUCGUUGGUCCUAGACUUAUUGGGAAGAGCACUCUUGUGGAAUAUGUUUGCAAUGAUGAGCGUGUGCGCAGUCACUUCUCCUCGAUCUUGCUCUACAGCGGAAACAGCCUUAAAGAUGAAACGGUGAUGACUUUUAGAGAUCAUUGUGUGAUCAAGCAUCAAAAUAUUGCAUCAGGUAAUGAAAGGUCAUUGGUUGUUAUUGAGCUGGUAGGGGAUGUGGACGAAGGAGCGUGGAAGAGGCUGAUGCACUCUGCUGAAAGAUGCAUGACAAGUGGGAGUAAAAUCAUAGUGACUAGCCGAUCAGACAAGACAGUCAGGCUUGGAACAACAGAAGCCAUCAAGCUAAGUUGUUUGUCUAAAGAAGCUUACUGGUAUUUCUUCAAGAUGCUUGUGUUUGGAAGCACGGACCCGGAGGAGCACCCAAUGUUAACAUCCAUAGCCAUGGAGCUUGCCCUCGAGAUGUGCGGAUCUUUCAUCCAUGCAUAUCUUGUGGCGGCCUUACUGAGAGAAAAUCUCAGUGCCCAGUUCUGGCGCAGGGUUCUCAGAAACUUUAGGAAGUACAUGCAGAAGAACGCAUUGUUGUCUGGUGAUUAUAUUGACGAGGAUAAGUCUCGGUAUGUUUGGAGCAUUGCUAAAACUCGGCGAGUUUCUGAGGAUCUUAAUUUCUGUGUGCUACAUGAUAGUUACCAAAAUGGGCCUGCUGCUCAUACAGUCUCACUACAGGUGAGGGCGGUCGACCUCCUAUCUGGGAGCGCCGCCGAGCCGCGGGGCAGGUCUGAGGUGCUGUUCUGGAGGUCCCUCGUACCACCGUACUACAGGUACAUGUAUGUGUGCGAGUGCAAGUUUGUGCGGCACAAGAACAAGAACAACCCGAUUGAAAUGGAGCCAUAG